GUGAAUCCCAGGGAAGCCAUGAGCUGCCACAUCACGCCCGGAAGGAAGCGGGCUGCGUUGGAGGGUUGAAGAGAUGAAGGCGCAGAGGCAUGAACUCCCGUAGCCAGAGAGUGUGAGCUGGACUCUACCUGGAGCAGCCUCGGUGCAGAGCCCAUGCCCCCAACCAUGUCCGUGGUCGAGGCCCAGCCCAGACAGGGCACAAAGGGGCUGAGGAAGAGGAAGUAAGAUGCCAGGGUUGCCAUGCAGGAGGGCAACCCCAAGUGAGAUGGGCAUCGUGGCCUAGGGCCCACCUUCCGGAAGAGCUCAUCAGAACUUCGGACACACUGCAUGGGCCUAGACCCAGGGCUCGUUGAGCUCCUCCCUCGGAUUGGCUUCGAAUUUUAGGUGAAUCCUCUCUAGCAGCCACAUUCACCCUUGCAAGCCUGCACUUUGUCAUCUUCUGAAAAGGUGCAGGAACAUGAUGCCCAGCUGACUCCCAGGGAGCGGGAGCCCCAGAGGCCAGCGGAGCACAGCCGCAGCAGGCAGAUCUGUUGGGAAACCACGGGAGUAUAGGAGCAGGGCUGGGGGCACC
rnacentral:lncRNA from 10 species